rnacentral:lncRNA from 1 species
UUCUUUGAUUUUGGUUGGGGUUUUAAGAGAUUAAACCUUCUUUUUUUGCUCCUUUUGCUUGUUGGAAGCUUUUCCACCAUUGGAGCUUGAUUUUGGAGCUUGGUAGAGGGAAGAUCUUGGGACUUGGAUAGUUUAGAGCUUGGAUUGAAGCUUCUAAGAGGUAAGCAACAUGUUCUCUCCCUCUAGAUUCAAGUUUUAUUGAAGAUUUUGAGAUGAAACCCUAGAAUGAGGUUUUAGAGUUAAUAUUGGGCAUUUUGAAUCUAGGACUUUUGAAGCUAGAUUGAGUGGAUUAGAGGCUUCCAUUAGGUUGGAUUGGAUGAGCCCUAGCUUCAUUUUGGAGCUUUAGAGGAGAUUUUGCACUAGAGGUGAGUUUUCCUCACCUAUGAUUGAUUAGCUUAAUGAUUGAGCUAUUGAUGGUUCGUUUCGUUCGUGUGACGCAUGUUUCUCUACCUCUAAGCUACUAGGAGACUAGAGGACACCCUCGUUGGAGCGCACGAGGAGUUUCGUUGCCAUCGGUGGAUUUGGCUUUGGAAAAAUGGGGCGAAAUGACCCCUAUGCUCUUUCUACUUAUUGUAAAAUAUUUUUAAGUUCAUUUCUAUGCUAAAUGGGAUUUAUAUGAAUUUUAGAGCACUUAAAAUGCAUGCCUCGUGUAUUAUGAAAAUUUCACUAUAUAGUAGAGCUAUAUGAGUAGAAUGCAUGCAUAUGGGAAAAGCGUUUAUUUUACAAGUGGAAAAUACAUCUCUUAUGAGGAUUAUGACUUGGAAUAUGUGCUUUGGAACAUAGUUGCCAUGUUUUGACAUAGAAAACAAGAGUGUCAUAAAGGGGCACUCGAAACUAGUGAACUAUGGAACUGCAACAUAGAGAUAUAUUGAUAGGCCUUUGUACAUCUGCUAUAUAUAUUCCAUGUUAGAGACAUGAUGACAUAGAGAUAGGCCUUUGGGACACUCGAUACAUUCCAUGUUAUUAGACAUGAGGACUUGGUACUUGCGAA